UACGAAGGGGGCUAGCGUUGCUCGGAAUGACUGGGCGUAAAGGGCGCGUAGGCGGCUUGCACAGUCAGGCGUGAAAUUCCUGGGCUCAACCUGGGGACUGCGCUUGAGACGUGUGGGCUUGAGUGGGGAAGAGGGUCGUGGAAUUCCCAGUGUAGAGGUGAAAUUCGUAGAUAUUCGGAAGAACACCAGUGGCGAAGGCGACUUACUGGACACAUAUUGACGCUGAGGUGCGAAAGCGUGGGGAGCAAACAGG
rnacentral:rRNA from 1 species